ACUCAAGUGGACGGGUGGGGAGCCUGCGGCUGGCCACCUCCGCACCCUCGGAGCGCUCCAGGGGGCCCCAACCCAAGCCCUGCACCUACUCUUGAAGGCGACGGCCGCGUUGUUGACCAGUACGUUGAGCCCCCCGUACUCCUUGCGCAGGAAGUCGCGCAGGGCGCGGAUGCUCUGCAAGUCGUCGAUGUCCAGUUGGUGGAAGCGCGGGCUCAGGCCCUCCGCCUGCAGCUGCUGCACGGCCGCCUGGCCCCGCGCCACGUCCCGCGCGGAAAACUAGACAAUCCACCAGCCCAGGAGGGGACAAGCAGGCUUAUUCCUCCUCCUCGUCAUCUCUGGCUCCAGCCCCACCCUGGCCCUUGCUGGCAUUCUUCCUCUUCACGUGGCUGGGGUUGGCCACCCCAAUAGGGAAGCAGAGGGAGAAGUCAAUGUGCUUCUGGGAAUCCAGGCGGACAGUGAAGAACAGGAUAUUUACCACCUGCUCACGGACACGGAUAUGACACUGUUGAAUCAGCACAUGAGCGUGGCGGAUGGACUUAGCCAAGCCAAGCUUGAAGACCUGGGUCUGUAGGAAUCUCUAAGAAAUCAUUGAUCUUCAGGCCCAGGAUGUAAUCCAGCUUCAUCUUGCCCUCAUCCAGCACCCCAGUGCGGACCAGCCACUGCAGCAGGGCAAUGCCUUCGAACAGACGCCGUGGGUCCUUCUCAUCAAGCGUCAGCAGCUCCCGGGCGGCCUUAUGGAUCUUGACCAGGGUAAAUUUGACCCUCCAGACCUCACAUUUGUUCUGGAGCCCAUACUCACCAAUCAGCUUUAGCUUUUGGUCGAGAUGAGGUUUCUCGAAGGGUCUCUGCAGGGUCACAUAAGUUUGGCAACAAACCCAGCUCUGGGCCGCUGGCAUGUUGGCUCCACUUGCCCGUCUAUGCCUAAGCACAGGCCCUGGUCACUGAGAAAGAGCUCAAAUUUUUUAUAUAUUUCAUCUAAGGUGUUGAUUCUAUUGAUACCCUUAUCCUUUUAACAUGCCCUUAUCCUUUUAAUGUUGGUAAUGAUGCUACCUGUCAUUUCUGAGACUGGUUUGUGUCUUUCGUGUUUUUUUCUGAUCUGUCUGGCUAGAGGUUUACCAAUUGAUUUGAUUUUCCUCAAACUUCUGGUUACAAUGAUUCUCUCUCUCUCUCUUUUCCUGAUUAUAUUAAUUUCUGUUCUGAUCUUUGUUUCCUUUCUUCUGCUUACUGGAUUUUAUUUGCUCUUUUUCUGGUUUCUUACUGUAAAGGCAGAAGUCAUUGAUUUGCAUUGAUUUGAGACUUCUUUUCUAAUGUAGGCAGUAAGUGGUGUAAAUUCCCUUUUAGUAUGACUUUAGUGGCAUCUCACAUUGAUAUGUUUUCAAUUUCAUUCAGUUUAUUUUUAUUUAUUUUUUAAAUUAUUUAUUUAUUUAUUUAUUUUGAGUUGUGUAGCCCUUUAUUAGCAACUAAAAUAGAAGGUAUCUGUUGUACAACAUGGGUAGUAAUUGACUAUAACUGGAGAUUUAUUAUAUUCUAAUACAGAUCAUUUAUAAAUGCAAUUUCUUUAUUAAAAAGCUUCCACCUUUUUGUUUGUUUGUGUACAAUUUGCAAAACUAUUCUGAAAGCGGAAUAUAUGUGCACAAGUCUGCAAAGAGUGCAAAUUUAGGAUAUGGUAAAUGCUUUACAAGUUACUUUCAAAAAACUGUCUGCCAUAACUGAGCCUUUACAUUGUCAUCUUUUUUGAUCAAAAUAUUUUGAUGCCAGCCUUCCUUCCACUGCCCUAAACUAUAAAGCAUUUUUUAAUGAGUUGAAAUUAAGGAAGGACUACACCUACUAGAAAAAAAGAGAAGAAAGUUCUAUUAGUUUGAGGUUUCAGAAUCCCCCCAAACCAGGACCAGUAUCGUGGUAAAGGCUAGGCUGGGAGCCCGGACAGAGUAUGAGAAUGUGCAGGUGGCAUCCCUGAGGAUUCAGAGCUUCAGUGGACCGUGAGUGCUCCAGCUGCAUAACUCACUGAACUGUCUUGCCAGUUUCUACACUGGCUCGACUGGGCAUAAUUCAAAAACGAAAAACUCAUAUUCAUUCCAUUCUUCUGGAGCUCUGUGAUAGCAUUUAAUAACACCCCAAUGGGAUGUCUUCCACAUAUAGUAUUAUGGUAUUUCUUCAAGUAAUUGCUAAAAGAUACAGGGUCUAAUUGUUCUAUAAUACUCAUACCCAUUUUAUCUAGAUGUUCAAUGGAUCUACAAAUCUCCCCCUGGGAUUCAUCAUAGUAACUGUGACGGAACCUUUGACCCCAAUGGCAGAAAUCAGAAGAAACCACAAAGAGAUUACUAGGAUCCGCUAGAUAUUUACUGAAAAGUUCCGAAUUCCUGUUCUUUUGACUCAGAGCUCCAACCAGUAAAGGAAUAAUGGUAAACUCAUCCUUAUGGCUUUCCAUGGCUUUAGCUGUAUAAGGCAAAUGCAUUUCAAUACUGCGUUCAUCUUCAUCUGUCUGCAGAGACAUGCGUUCAAACAUUCCUGUCUUCCAUAGUUCUCCGUAAAUCUUUUGGUCAAUACGAAGGUCAUACAGGGGUGUCCUAUAUAUAUCCACACUGGAAAGUGCACAUCGAGAGAGGGGCACAUGAUGAGAAGGCCCAAGGAUGAAAAUUCUCCGGGUAAUAGACGGAUCCACUUGUUUAUAAGCAUGGGCAGCACAAGACCCACAGUACGUAUAUCCUGCAUGGGGGGCAAUAAUGGCUCUAGCAGGUCUUUUUGUAGACUGUACUUGUGAAAGCCAACCUUCUAGCUGUGCAUUCAGCUGCGGUCCUGAGGCUGUGUACCAGCUCCCGGCGUGACUGGCUUCUCGGCAGACCACUCGGUUGGACAUCUUGGUGCCUGUGCCGCCUAUGGUGCACGAGGAUGAAUGAGGAGGCGGCGGCGGCGGCGGCGGCAGCGGGGAGGGGAUCAGCCCGGCCCAGGAGGAGGAGGAAGAGGAGGAGGCGGCGGCCCAGGAGGAGGAGAUGGCAGCCGGGGGGGUGGCGGCGGCAGCAACAAUCACCACAAACUCCGGCGACCGCCGGAAGAUGGGGCCCACGGCGGCCUCACCUAAGCCCGGAAAGCCCUGGCCCCGGCCCCCGGCGUCCCCGCUGCUGCCCAGCCGGGGCUGGUUCAGCCGAGCCGCCCCCACGGCCCCCUCCCCUCCCAGCUGGCCUCCCCGAGCCACCGCGAGUGACCCCACCCCCGUGACUCCGCGCCCGCCCCCGCCGCGGGGCUCCCCGCACCCACCCCCACCCCCACCCCUGGCAGGGCCCUCCAGCCCGGCCGCCUAUUUUUAUUUUUAUUCUUAUUUAUUUAUUUUUUGAGACAGAGUCUUGCUCUAUCACUGAGGCUGGAAUGUAGUGGUGCCAUCUCAGUUCACUGCAGCCUCCACCUCCUGGAUUUAAGCGAUUCUUGUGCCUCAGCCUCCUGAGUAACUGGGAUGCACCCGCCACCAAGCCCAGCUAAUUUUUGUAUUUUUAGUAGAGAUGGGGUUUCACCAUGUUGACCAGGCUGGUCUCGAAGUCCUGACCUCAAGCACUCUGCCUGCCUUGGCCUUCCAAAAUGCUGGGAUUACAGGCGUGAGCCACUGCCCCUGGCUAGAAGUGUAUUUUUUAAGUUUCCAACUUACUUGGGGAUUUUUCCGGCUAUCUUGCGAUUGAUUUCUAACUUAAAUCCAUUGUGGUCAAUGAACUCACAUUGCACAACUUAACUCCUUUUUAAAGAAUUUCAAAAGCCGAGAGAGAUAUUAAAGCAUGUUUUUAUGUAAUGACAAUAAUCUCAGAGAGAGAACAGUUGAAGAACAGGAAGAAUUGCAAGAACAAAAUGUGUGGGAAGACCAAGCACGGGUGGAUCCAGGAAUCAGGUGGGGGUGUGGAGGGGGAAACAGCACACCUCUUCUCUUGUAACAGAAGGAAAGGCAGAGUGUGUGGGUUUAGACCCAAGCAUGUUGGGGAAACUAAGGCCUUCCUGAGGGCAUCUGUUAUCUCUUUGGAGGGUGAGAGAUUUGAGGUCAUCAUUGAGAGGGAUUAGUUUGGGGAAAUUGAGGACAGUAGCCAUUUUGCAGAUUGGGAAAGUGAUUUUUUUUUCCUGUGGCUCAUACCUGUAAUCCCAGCAUUUUGGGAGGCCAAGGCAGGCAGAUCACUUGAAACCAGGAGUUCAAGACUAUCCUGGCUAACACGGUGAAACCCUAUCUCUACUAAAAAUACGAAAAAAUAACUGGCCGGGCAUGGUGGCGGUCGCCUGUAGUCCCAGCUACUCGGGAGGGCUGAGGCAGGAGAAUGGUGUGAACCUGGGAGGCAGAGCUUGCAGUGAGCUGAGAUCAGGCCACUGCAUUCCAGCCUGGGUGACAGAGACAGAGUGAGACUCUGUCUCAAAAACAAAAAAACAAAACAAAACAAAACAAAAAAAAACCAGGUGUGGUGGCGUCCAUCUGUAGUCUCAGCUACUCAGGAGGCUGAGGCAGGAGAAUUGCUUGAACCCAGGGGGUGGAGGUUGCAGUGAGCCAAGAUCACACCACAGCACUGGAGCCUGGCAAUAGAGUGAGACUUUGUCUCAAAAAAAAAAAAAAGAAAAAGAAAGAAAGAAAGAAAGAAAUGGCUCCGGUUAUUGCCGUCGACAGAAUAAUGCCCCUCCCCCAAGAGGUCUGCAUUAGAAUCUGCAGAGCCUGUGAAUUUGCUUUCCUUCACAAGAGGGACUUUGCAGAAGUGAUUACGGAUCUUGAUGUGGGGAGAUUAGCCUGGGUUACCAAGGUGGGUCCAGUGUAGACCCAAGGGUCUUUAUGAGAGGGAGGCAGAAGGGUCCAAGACGAAGAUGUGGUAGAAGCAGAGGUCAGGAGAGAUUUGGAGAUGGAGGAAGGGCAUGUGCCAAGGAACACAGACAGCCUCCAGAAGUUGACAGGACAGCAGAGGGGUUCCUCCCUCAGGGAUUCUGGAAGGAGCACGGCUCUGAUACCUUGACUUUAGGACUUCUAACCUCCAGAAUGAUAAGAUCAUAAACAUGUGUUAUCUCACGCCCCUCAGUUUGUGGUAAUUUGUUUUAGUGGCCAUAGAAAGGACUGCAGUUACAGGAAGAUUCCUACCUUCUGUCCUGGCUGAGAGGAAACACCUUUCUCUUGUACUUAGUACAGCAUUGCGCAAAUAAUUGGAAUUGUGAGCAGAUUUUUUAAGAAAAAGACUGGGCCGGGCUCAGUGGCUCGUGCCUGUAAUCCCAACAGGCUGAGGAGGGUGGAUCACAAGGUCAAGAGAUUGAGAACAAUCUGGCCAACAUGCUGAAACCUCAUCUCUACUACAAAUACAAAAAUCAGCUGGGUGUGGUGGUGCGUGCCUGUAGUCCCAGCUACUCAGGGAGGCUGAGGCAGAAGAAUUGCUUGAACUCGGGAGGCGGAGGUUGCAGUGAGCCGAGAUUGUGCCACUGCACUCCAGCCUGGCAAAAUACUGGUGGCCAGGCAUGGUGGCUCAUGCCUGUAAUUCUAGCACUUUGGGAGGCUGAGGUAGGUGGGUAGCUUGAGUCCAGCCUGGGCAACAUAGUGAAACCCUGUCUCUACCAAAAAUACAAAAAUUAGCUGGGUGUGGUGGUGUGUGCGGUAGUUCCAGCUGGGAGGAUUGGGUGAGCCCGGGAGGUGGAGGUUGUGGCGAGCCGAGAUGGCGCCAUUGCAUUCCAGCGUGGGCAACAAGAGCAAAACUCUGUCUCAAAAAAAAAAAAAAAAAAAAAGUUGUGGGUUCUGGUGGUUUACUGCUGUGAUUCUGUUUAGAUUGGCUUUGCUAUCACUUAAUGCCAUUGUCCCUUUGUGUUUACCAAAUCACUGGGUAAGAACCCAAACCUUUGCCAGUAACAUGGCAUUCUUCCAGGGUUCUUCUCCUUCCAAAGUCCUUUUGUGGUCUGAAGGACUGAAUGUCCACAGCCGUUCCCUCAUCUGCAUCCAGCGACUGUCUGAGCACCUGUUAGGUACCAGUCAUGCUCAGGAGUGAACAGAGGCCUGGGAAGGGCAGGAGUGGAGCUCCCUGCCUUCAUGGCUCCUUAUUGUAGCUCCUACUUACUCACUGUGUGAUCGUGGGCAAGGUUCCCAAUCUCUCAGUGUCUCAGUUUGCUCAUCUGUACAAUGGGAAUAGUUUUAGUGCCUAGCUCUUACGAUUGCUGUAAGGAGUACAGCAUGAAUGUUUAAUAUUAUAAAAGUGCUUAGAGCAGUACUGACAAACGGUAAUACAUAAAUGUUUGCUGUUCUUACAUUUUUUCAGCAAAGGCAGGCAGACACCAUCUAAAACCAUACAUUCAUGUCUUUACAGCCAUUGAUUGGUGUUCUCCUGGGUAACAGGCACAGUCAUGACUACCAUUAUUUGCUAGAGGCAGAUAAUGUGGGCAGAGGUGGGAGGUGAGGGGAACCUGUCUACAGCUUCGCCUUAAAGAAAGCGCUCUUGACUCCCAUCGCGUUCUAAGAAAGUCUGGGUUGCAGAAGGCAAGCUUGGGCAGGAAUGGGGCCCAUUGUUUUUCUGGAAGCAAGAUUAAGGUCAGGUUCUGAGUCAAAUGAAGAGGUCAGCAAACAGCUUGGUAACUCCCCACCUCCUCUUCUCUAUGCCUAGUUCUUCACUGCCUGCCCUUCCCAGGGGUGGGUCACAAAGUGGCUUAGGGUCAGGACAGUGAGGCUGUUGAGUGCCAUGGGGGGUGUCAGGGAGAAGACAAUUCCUACAAUGCCACCUCAUGUAGCUGAAACCUCGCCUUCCUCUCCUAAGUGUUCUGUGCCUGAGUGCUGGGGUCAGGAUUAUGCAUGGUCCCAACAGGGCUUGACCAGGCAGGACAAGCAGGUGUGUGAUUUGUAUGCUUGAGGUCACCAUGGUGGCUGUCCCUUUGCUACCCUGGAAUUGGUUUCUGGUCUCUAUAUUCAGAGUGACUCAGGGAAAAGCAUACUGCUUAUUGUAAACACUGCUGACUUGGAAGAAGAGAUUCUCCUUGCAAAUGUGGUAGGAACCAGUUUAAGUGUGAUGUCUGGAAGGCUGGGCUCUGUGCCUGAAAGGAAAUCUGCCACACCCUUGCUAAACUGGACAGAGAAGGGGCCAUGGCAGGCUGGUGAAGCACCUGUGCUGGGAAAUGUGGGUCCGAAGGCCCCAGUCCUCUCCUUGGGAGCUGGAUCAGGGUUUAUUUUAAAGCCCAUUCUUACCUCUUAGCUUGGCAAAGUAUUGCCAAGCCUGGGGAAAACCAGCCAUUCAUGUAUAUUUCUGGCGAGUGUAAUGUACCUCCUCUUUGGAGGGCAAUUUGGCUGUUGUCUAUUGAAAUUAAAAAUAUGCGUCUCUUCCUGGAAAGGGAAUUGUUGGGGGAAUUUAUCCUACAGAUACCCUCCCGUGUGUGUAAUGAUAGCCGGACCAGGAUGUUCUUUAAAAGUGGUUCUCAGCCAGUUUGUUACAAAGGUCAUGAAUUAUUCAGCAAGAUGAUAAUGGUUUUAUGUUUUUAAAAAUGAUAAAUUGUAGCCUGUUGAUCAUCGUUAAAAAUAUUUGAAUGCUAUUUGUAUGGCUUUCUCUGUGAACUUCAGUGAUUAUUUUGGACAGUUUGUGUUUGUAGAACUUGCUGCCAGACAGUGCCCCUUGUGGUUGAGUGGCUGCACUACAUGGCAUAUGUAUCAGUUUCCUGCGGUCACCAUAACUAAACACCAAAUACAGGUGCAGAGCUUCAUUCUCUCAUAGUUCUGGAAGCCAGAAGUCCGAGAUCAAAAUGUUGUCAGGACCAUGCUCUCUCUCCAAGCGCUGGGAAAGAAUCCUUCCCUGCCUCUUCCACUUGCUGGUGGUUGCUAGCAAUCUUUGGCAUUCCUUGUCUUGGGGCAGCAUCACACCAAUGUCUGCCUCUGUCUUCAUAUGGCUGCUGUCUCUGCUGAGCAUCUGUGUAUGUCUUCUCCUCUCCUGUUCCUUUUUUUUUUAAUUUUUUUUCCUGAGACAGUCUCACUCUGUCGCCUAGGCUGGAGUGCAGUGGCAUGAUCUUGGCUCACUGCAACCUCCGUCUCCUGUGUUCAAGCGAUUCUCAAGCCUCAGCCUCCCGAGUAGCCAGGAUUACAGGCGCCUGCCACUACACCUAGCUAAUUUGUGUAUUUUUAGUAGAGACACGGUUUCACCAUGUUGGCCAGGCUGGUCUCGAACUCCUGACCUCAAGUGAUCCACCCGCCUCAGCCUCCCAAAGUGCUGGGAUUACAGGCAUAAGCCACCAUGCCUGACCCUUCUCCUCUUCUUAUAAGGACAUUAGUCUUCCAGCAUAAUCUCAUCUUAACUAAUUACAUCUGUAAAGACCCUAUUACCAAAAGGGCACAUUCUGAGAUGGCAGGUGGACAUGAAUUUUGAGGGGACACUGCAGAACUAACCCACUAUAGAAUCUUUCUUUAAUGUUUCUAUUGAUCCCUUUCAACUGGUCUAAUAUAUUAUUUAGCCUGAAUUUUUUUUUUCUUUUUUGAGACAGUGUCUUGCUCUGUUGCCCAGGAUGGAAUGCAGUGGCAUGAUAAUGGCUCACUGCAGCCUUGACCUCCCAGGCUCAAGCGAUCCUUUGUAGCUGAGACUACAGGUCUGUGCCACCAUGCCUGGACAAUUUUUUAUUUUUAUAUAUGUUUUUAAGAGGUGGGGUCUUGCUAUGUUGCCCAAGGUGGUCUUGAACUCCUGGGCUAGAGCAAUCCUCCUACCUUGGCCUCCUAAAGUCCUGGAAUUACAGGCAUGAGCCCUUGCAUCUGGAUAGCCUGACUUGUUUAUCAUAAAUUCUUUUUUGAGAUGGAGUCUUGCUCUGUUGCCCAGGCUGGAGUACAGUGGCACGAUCUCAGCUCACUGCAACCUCUGCUUCCUGAAUUGCAGAAGAAUUCUGCAAUUCUCCUGUCUUAGCCUCCUGAGUAGCUAAGAUUACAAGUGUGCACCACCACACCUGGCUAAUUUUUGUAUAUAUAUAUGUUUUUUAGUAGAGAUGGGAUUUCGCCAUGUUGGCCAGGCUGGUCUCAAACUCCUGAUCUCAGAUGAUCCUCCCACCCCGGCCUCCUAAAGUGCUGGAAUUACAGGCAUGAGCCACCGUGCCCGGCCUAUCAUAAAUUCUUGCCUGCAUGUCUUAGUCCAUUUGUGCUGCUAUAACAAAAUACAUGAGACUGGGUAAUUUAUAAACAAUAGAAAUUUACUUCUUGUGGUUCUGGAGACUAGAAAGUCCAAGGUCAAGGUUCUAGGAAGUCUAGUGAGGGCCUGGUCUGUGCUUCCAAGAUGAUGCCUUGUUGUUUUGCCCUCCAGAGGGGAUGGACGCUUUGUCUUCACAUGGUGGAAGGGCAAAAAGGAGGGAAGCAGCUCCCUUAUAUAUCUUUUAUAAGGUCAUUAAUCCCAUUUGUGAGGACAGAGCCCUCAUGACCCAAUCACCUCCCCAAAAGCUCCACUUUCUAAUACCAUCAUCUUGGUGAUUAGGUUUCAACAUAUAAAUUUUGGGAGGACACAUAAUUCAAACUAUAGAAGCAUAUAUAAAGCUUAGUUUCCUUUUGGUACAGUUUGCUCUUAUAUUUAUUUUUCUACCAUCAUAGGAGUUUGCUAUGGUUUGAAUGCUUCUCCCCUCUGAAACUCAUGAUGAAACUUAAUCCCAAAUGUAACAAUAUUGACAGGUGGAGCCUGUACGAGGUGAUUGGGUCAUUAGUGCUCUGUCCUCACCAAAGGAUUAAUAUAUCAUGGAUUAAUGGGUUAAUGGAUUAAUGGGUUAUCAUGGGAAUGGGUUAGUUAUUUUAAAACUGAGUCUGUUAUAAAAGCCACUUGGCAUUCUCUUGUGUACUCCUUGCCAUGUGACCCUGUACCACCUUGGAACUCUGCAGAGAGUCCCCACUAGCAAGAAGGCCCUCACCAGAUGCAGCUCCUUGACCUUGAACUUCCAGCCUCCAGACCGUAAGAAAUGAAUGUAUUUUCUUUACAAUUUACCCAGUCUCAGGCAUUCAGUUAUAGCAACAGAAAAGGGACUAAGAUAGCCAUCUUUAUUGUUUUUGUUAUCUGGUAUUGCGUGUCUCUAAAGAGAAUAUAACUGGAUUGUUAACUAUUUCCUACCCUCCUUUGUUAGUGGCUUCAUAUUUUUUUAUUAUUUAUUUAUUUAUUUAUUUAUUUAUUUAUUUAUUUAUUUUUUUGAGACAGGCUCCCUCUGUUGGCCAGGCUGGAAUGCAGUGGCGUGAUCUCGGCUCACUGCAGCUUCAACCUCUUGGGUUCAAGCUUCCUGAGCAGUUGGGACUACAGGUGUGCACCACCAAGCCUGGCUAAAUUUUUGGUAGACAUGGGUUCUCACUGUGUUGCUCAGGCUGGUCUCAAAUUCCUGGGCUCAAACGAUCCUACCCACUACAGCCUCCCAAAGUGCUGAGAUUAUAGGCAUGAGCCACUGUGCCCAGACUUUUAGUGGGUUUUUAAAAAUAGAAAGCUAAUAUUCAUGGAACUCUUGCUCAGAGUCAGGUGCUGGUCUCCACACUUUACACUGACCUAUAUGUUCCACUCUAACAAGAGACUCACCCCAUAUCAUGAGCCAAGCAUGGGGGGAGGACCUUCUUGAAAGCAGACACUAAAAUGUCUUGGUAGCCACACUGAUUUUCUUUUCCCUUCAUAGCUGUCCUGUUGCUUUUAGUUCUGUAUCACCGCCUUCAGUGUGCCCAGCUGUCCACACCCCGCUAUCCAGGUUCAAGAGAAGAUCCCGUUGCACUCAUUUUCCAGGGCCAUUACACUUUUUGGGAAAUAAUUUUUGUGCUGUUGUCAAACAACAGUUAUCCUCUGUUAUUUAGCAACCCUUGUUCCUUGAACAUUUUCUUCUUUAAAAAAUAGUUUUAUUGAGAUGUAAUGUGAAUUAAAUCCCAUUUAAAGUAUACAAUUCAAUGAUUGAUAGUAUGUUCACAGAAUUAUACAACCAUUACCACUAUUUUGGGACAUUUUCAUCACCCCUAAAACAAACCCCAUAGCCAUUAGCAGUCAUUCCCCAUUUCCUUCCAUGCCUUCAUCCCUAGGCAGCCACUAACCUGUUUUCCAUUUAUAUAGACUUACCAAUUCUAGACAUUUCAGAUAAAUGAAACAGUAAGAUGUGGCCCUUUGUGACUGACUUUCACGUAGUGGGUUUUUUUUUUUUUUUUCUUUUUUGAGACAAGGUCUCGCUCUGUUGCUCAGGCUGGAGCCCAGUGGUGCAAUCAUAGCUCACUGCAGUCUUGACCUCCCUGGGCUCAAGUGAUCCUCCUACCUCAGUCUUCUGUGUACGUGGGACUACAGGGGUGCACCACCAUGCCCUGCUCAUUUUUUGUAUUUUUUUGUAGACACAAGGUUGCACCAUGUUAGCCAGGCUGGUUUCAAACUCCUGGGCUCCAGUGAUCUGCCCACCUCAGCCUCCCAAAGUCCUGGGAUUACAGACAUGAGCGACCACAACCAGCCUCUCUUAGUAUGUUUCAAGGUUCAUCUGUGUUGUAGAUCUUACUGGCUUUUAAAGUUAACAUUUAGUAAGUUUGAUUCUUGAUAGGAUUUAUAAUUAAUUUUUAAUCAUAGAAAUAUUCUUAAAAAUAUUAAUUGAACAUAAAGUUGAUACAAUAAAGGUGUAGACUUUGUGGCUUCAGGAAUCAGUUUUUUUCACAAUUGACUCUACAUGAAUAUAAUAUUUUGUUGCUUUUUCAGAAUUUUAAGUAAAACUAAUAUUUCCAUAUUGUAUUUCGCUCAUCUAUGCUUAAUCUAAAAAGGUUGAGUUGGUUUAAAGCAUUCCUAAGAAGUGGCUGAUGUAAGAUGGAUUAAUUGAUUCAGGGUCUCACCCUGUCACCCAGGCUGGAGUGCAGUGGCAUGAUCAUGGCUCACUGUGGCCUCAACCUCCUGUCUCUCUCCAAGUUGCUGGGACUACAGGCAUGCACCACAAUACUCGGCUAGUGUUUUGUAUUUUUUGUAGAGAUGGGGUUUCGCCAUGUUACCCAGGCUGGUCUCGAUCUCCUGACCUCAAGUGAUCUGCUAACCUCAGCCUCCCAAAACGCUGGGAUUACAGGCAUGAGCCACUGUGCCUGGCCAAGAUUUAUUUUUUGAAAUAUCAAAUUUCAAAAGUUUGAAAAAAAACUGUGGAAACUCUUUAGUCCCUUAAAUUCUUUAUAUCUAAAUAUAACAUUAUUAUUAUUAUUUUUAGACGGAGUCUCAUUCUGUCGCCCAGGCUGGAGUGAAGUGGUGUCAUCUCCACUCACUGCAACCUCCCCCUCCUGGAUUCAAGCAAUUCUUCCGCCUCAGCUUCCCAAGUAGCUGGGACUACAGGCACCUGCCACCACGCCUGGCUAAUUUUUGUAUUUUUAGUAGAGAUGGGGUUUCCCAUGUUGGCCAGGUUGGUCUCGAACCCCUGACCUCAGGUGAUCUGCCCACAUCAGCCUCCCAAAGUGCUGGGAUUACAGGCAUGAGCCACUGUGCCCAACUAAAUAUAACUUUUAAAGUUAAGUCUGUAUGUUAGUAACUUAUUGCUACAUAACAAGUUACUUCAAACUUUGUUGGCUUAAAACAUUUAUUUUCUCAGUUUCUGUAGAUCAGGAAUGAGAGUAGCUUGGCUGGGUAGUUCCGCCUCGGGGCCUCUCGUGAGCCAUCUUGCUGUCAGCUGGGGCUGCGGUCAUCUGGGGACAGAAAGCUGGUGGCUGGAGGCCUCAGCUCUUAGCCAAGAGGGCCUCUCCUUGGGUGGCCUCAAGACACUGCAGCUGGCUUCCUCCAGAGUGAGUGAACCAAGAGAGGGGGAAGAUGAAAGCCAAACUGUCUUUUAUGACCUAGUUUCUUCUACCAUUCCUUCCCCAUGUCUGCUGGUCACACAGAGCAAGUCUGAUCCAGUGUGGGAAGGGCCUACACAGGGUCUGAAGAACAGAAGGCAGGGAUCAUGGGAUGGUCUUGGAGGCCGGCCACCACAAGCUGGGCAGUCAUCUGACUCCCUAGACUGGCAGUCAAAAAAUCACUUACAUUGCCCAGUAGGUAAUACAGUAAAGAUUAGGGAGGCGGAGCGUGGUGGCUCACACCUGUAAUCCCAGCACUUUGUGAGGCUGAGGCGGGAGGAUGACUUGAGGCCAGGAGUCUGAGACCAUCCUGGGCAUCACAGUGAGACUCCAUCUUCACAAAAAAUUUUAAAAAUUAGCCAUCUCCACAAAACAUUAAAAAAAUUAGCCAGGUGUGGUGGUGUGCACCUGUAGUCCUACCUACUUAGGAGGCUGAAGCAGGAGAAUCCCUUGAGCCCAGGAGCUUGAGGCUGCAAGUGACCUAUCAUCACACUACUGCAUUCUAGCCUGGGUGACAGAGUGAGACUAUGUCUCUAAAAAAUUUUUUUAAAAUUAAUAUUGCCAAGCACAGUGGCUCAUGUCUGUAAUCCCAACA
rnacentral:lncRNA from 1 species